rnacentral:rRNA from 1 species
AUUGAACGCUGGCGGCAUGCCUUACACAUGCAAGUCGAACGGCAGCACGGGUGCUUGAACAUGAUGGCGAGUGGCGAACGGGUGAGUAAUACAUCGGAACGUGCACAGUCGUGGGGGAUAACGUAGCGAAAGUUACGCUAAUACCGCAUACGAUCUACGGAGGAAAGCGGGGGACCGUAAGGCCUCGCGCGAUUGGAGCGGCCGAUGUCAGAUUAGGUAGUUGGUGGGGUAAAGGCCCACCAAGCCAACGAUCUGUAGCUGGUCUGAGAGGAAGACCAGCCACACUGGAACUGAGACCCGGCCCAGACGCCUACAGGAGGCAGCAGUGGGGAAUUUUGGACAAUGGGCGCAAGCCUGAUCCAGCCAUUCCGCGUGCAGGAUAAAGGCCUUCGGGUUGUAAAGCUCUUUUGUCAGGGAAGAAACACCGGAUCUAACACAGUCCGGGAAUGACGGUACCUGAAGAAUAAGCACCGGCUAACUACGUGCCAGCCGCCGCGGUAA